rnacentral:rRNA from 1 species
AGUGAACGCUGGCGGUAGGCCUAACACAUGCAAGUCGAACGGCAGCACAGUAAGAGCUUGCUCUUACGGGUGGCGAGUGGCGGACGGGUGAGGAAUACAUCGGAAUCUACUUUUUCGUGGGGGAUAACGUAGGGAAACUUACGCUAAUACCGCAUACGACCUACGGGUGAAAGCAGGGGAUCUUCGGACCUUGCGCGAUUGAAUGAGCCGAUGUCGGAUUAGCUAGUUGGCGGGGUAAAGGCCCACCAAGGCGACGAUCCGUAGCUGGUCUGAGAGGAUGAUCAGCCACACUGGAACUGAGACACGGUCCAGACUCCUACGGGAGGCAGCAGUGGGGAAUAUUGGACAAUGCGCGCAAGCCUGAUCCAGCCAUACCGCGUGGGUGAAGAAGGCCUUCGGGUUGUAAAGCCCUUUUGUUGGGAAAGAAAAGCAGCAGGUUAAUACCCCGCUGUUCUGACGGUACCCAAAGAAUAAGCACCGGCUAACUUCG